UACGAAGGGGGCUAGCGUUGCUCGGAAUCACUGGGCGUAAAGCGCACGUAGGCGGAUCUUUAAGUCAGGGGUGAAAUCCUGGAGCUCAACUCCAGAACUGCCUUUGAUACUGGGGAUCUCGAGUCCGAGAGAGGUGAGUGGAACUGCGAGUGUAGAGGUGAAAUUCGUAGAUAUUCGCAAGAACACCAGUGGCGAAGGCGGCUCACUGGCCCGGUACUGACGCUGAGGUGCGAAAGCGUGGGGAGCAAACAGG
rnacentral:rRNA from 1 species